rnacentral:rRNA from 1 species
GGACUACUAGGGUAUCUAAUCCUGUUUGCUCCCCACGCUUUCGCGUCUCAGCGUCAGCAACGAUCCAGAGGGCCGCCUUCGCCGCCGGUGUUCCUCCUGAUAUCUACGCAUUUCACCGCUACACCAGGAAUUCCGCCCUCCUCUAUCGCGCUCCAGCUGGCUAGUUUCCGAUGCCCUUCCGGAGCUGAGCCCCGGGCUUUCACAUCAGACUUGACCAACCGCCUACACGCCCUUUACGCCCAGUCAAUCCGAACAACGCUUGCACCCUCCGUCUUACCGCGGCUGCUGGCAC